rnacentral:tRNA from 1 species
GCAAGUAAGGGCUCAACUGGAUAGAGCAUCUCACUACGGAUGAGAAGGUUUGGGGUUAGAAUCCCCAUGCCUGCC